ensembl:lncRNA
CUGCUCGCUUGUGUCCUACAGGAUUUCUCUGAUAGCCCAGUAAACCUUUCUGACAUGCUUUUUAAAAAAAAUAGAAAGAAAGAAAGAAAGAUUUUAAAAAAUAGUGUGUCUUCUAUUUGUAUCUAUUUGUAUUCGGUUACCUCCAUCGUGUACCAGGAAGCACCUUUAAACAUAGAGUUUCAGUUCUGUCAGGGGUUAUCCUGUGCAUGAUGAGUGUGCUGGUAUAGAAAUGUUAGAGCAAAAGAGAAACAGACUGAGGUCAAGAGAGAGAGAGAGAGAGAGAGAGAGAGAGAGAGAGAGAAUGAAGGAAAAGGAGCACUGUGACAGUUGCCAUGAUGGAUCUCGGUGUCGGAAUGAGUGUGAAUGUUUAGCUUGGGUCUUCAUAAAUAUUUACAGUCCAUGCUGAGAGCCUCGUGCUCUGGAGUGUAACUUGGACUUGCUUUCUGGGCCUGGCACAACACUGCCUGUGACCGAAAAAGGAUUCUUGGCCUAAUAGGACUGCAAGGUGUGUUUACAUGUGUGUGUGUGUCGAUGAGGAUGACUUUUUUGCUUAGCCAGCACAAGCCGUUGCCCGCAGAUGGAAUUUUAGGUGCAAUUAAAAAGGACAAUAUAAAUAAACAAUAAAACGAGCCGUAAAUUACUGCUCGGCCCCAUAAAAUUCAUGCAAAUUAAUGCGCUUACAAAAAAACAUCAGCCGUUUUAAAAAUGUCUCAUGAAUGAACCAUUAUGAAUGGUUCUUUUCAAGUGUUCAUCCUUUCGAGUGUCCUUAUCAGCGUGUGUGAGCCACAGAGAAACUACUAGAAGCAGCAGUUCGGUUUACAAAUGAAAGAUUAAACUGAUUGUGUCAUGAAAUAAAUCAGAUCCCUUAACUGUUGUUUGUUUACAUUAAGCUUAGCGGGUUUCUUCCGGGUACUUCGUUUUCCUCCCCCAGUCCAAAGACAUGCAUGGUGGGUUGAUUGGCGUGUCUGAAGUGUCCGUAGUGUAUGAAUGGGUGUGUGUGAGUGUGUAUGUGAUUGUGCCCUGUGAUGGAUUGGCACCCAGUCCAGGGAGUACCCCGCCUUGUGCCCCAUGAUCCCUGGGAUAGGCUCCAGGUUCCCCGUGACCCUGAAAAGGAUAAGCGGGAUAGAACAUAAAUGGAUGGAUGGUUACUUCCGGGUACUUCAUUUUCCUCCCACAGUCCAAAGACACGCGUUAUAUGCUGAUUGCCGUUUCCAAAUUGUCCGUAGUGUGCGAUCGUGCCUUGUGAUGGGUUGGCACCCAGUCCAGGGUGUCCCCUGCCUCGUACCCCGAGUUCCCUAGGAUACGCUCCAGGCUCCCCUGAGACCCUGUGUAGGAUAAUCGGUAAGGAAAAUGUAUGCAUAGAUAAUUCCACACCUUCUGAUUGGAAAAUUCAAUCAAGCUAUGGUAUAUAAAGUAUAAAUAAUGUUCAGUUUAUGGACAGAAAAGUACCUUGUAUACGUCUGAAAUAUGAAUCGGACAGUGUCCGGGUGUGUGUUUGGGAUAUACGCAGCUAUUUAGUGUCUAAUAAAUGUUUGCGGUUUAUCAGGUAUUCGAUGUAUGUCAUAAAAGCGCCAGCUCAGUGUAGCAUAUAAAAUGAGUCUAUCGUGAAUAAUUGGGAUCAUGUGCCAUUGCUAUGGAUAAUUAAAAAAAAAAAAAAAAGUCAACAGCAGCAUUCAUUUUUGUGCUUAUUUUCUGGCAAAAAUCAGUUAAUUACACAAUUAGCCAAGAAAGAGCCUUAUUUGAACCAAUUAGCAGAUUAAUCAACAGAGCCAAAAUGUAAUGAAAGGCUGGUGAUUAACUCUGUGUAGUAACAGUAGUGUAUUGUAGCUAGGGGAGCUGGAAUUCAGGUUGAAAUAUUUCCCAGUUCCAAGUGCUUAUUUAUGGAUGGUUCACAUAACACACCUAGAACAAAUCUCAUUAUAUAUACACCUGUUCGGAAUAUUCUAGUGCAAUUCCUGAGCAAAAAAAUGCAUUCGAUGUCAAAUGAAUGCGCUGUAAUGAUGUUCGUGGAAAAAGGUCAACGGAGUCAUGUUUACGAUUCCGUAUUUAACAUCCAACGAUUUUUAACCGUUUCUGUUCGACUCUGUUGGAGCACAGUGUUGUCGAGCUGUUCGCUGGUAAAGUUAUGAAGGUUCGUUGCAAGAAGGAGGAACGGAAAAGUAGAUCAAAGCGUCGUUCAUCCUGAACGUUUUAUUUUAUACAUCAUUUUCAUUCAACACUAUCGGUAACACUUUACAGUAACAGUACAUGAAUAAUCGUGCACUAAUAGCUGAAUUAAUACUUCCUUAAAUAUGAAUUAACGAUGAGUUGGGGCAUGUACUAAUCAUGGACUAAUGAAGCGCAGACCUUAACUACGACAUGAGUCGAAUUAUGAAACCUUAAGUACAUGUUUGUUCUAUUUGUUAUGUAUUAAUUAACACGUAGGGAUCAAUUAAGUCAAACAUGCUCUGUAAGAAAGAAUAUGCAUUAAACUAACAAACAUGGACUAACAUGUAUUUAAGGUGGUCGUUAUUCACAUAUAAGAUGCACACAUGAAUUCACAAGACUUACGUCGUAGACGUAGACGGUAGCUCCACCAAUCGCACCAGCACAUAACAUUUAUCAAUAUAACUAUACAGACCACGUCGUAAUUUUAUUUAGUGUAUUCCUAACCCCCCGCCCCCACCUGAAAUGAAUUCCUUUCCGCGCCACUAGAAAUGACUAUACUUCACCCACCUGAGAGUUGGAUAAAUCGUCUGCCAAAUAAAAGAAAUAUAAAACAGCUAAAAGCUUAUAAGGUAAUUAUGUGAAACGGAAAAAUUAAAUUGUGACUUGCGGUAAUAAAAAUGUGGCAGAGCGAAAAAAAAUAUCAUAAUAUAACAUUAAUCGAAUUCUACUGUAUCUUGUAAAUGAUGGUGAUGGAGAUUCAUGGAUUAAUAUUCUCUCAGUAGUGAGUGAUUUCCUGUAGUAUCCAGCAUUAUUGUUAUGCUUUAUAAGCUAAAAAAAAAAAAAUCAAGGAGAUUUAAAUAAAUGUGACUCAAGCAUGUGAAACACUUUGACAGCAAGACAUAGUGUAUACUGUAUUUAUGAUAUACAGUGGAUGUAUAGCAACAAUUAACAAUCUUAACAGCGAUGUCGUUACUGAUAUAUUCGUUGUUGAUGAUGUGUCUUGCCACAUGAUAUGAGAAAAGCUUCAUUCUGAGGGUUCGGUUAGUCUUCACAUCGAACAUCAGAAUUAGGACGUCUCAGUGAGUGAUUGAUUGAUUGAUUGGUGGUAUUGGUGUUGGUGCCAAACUGGGUGGUUUAAUUAAGUAUUUCUGGAAACUUCCGAUCUCCUGGGAUUUUUGUGCACAAAAAGUUUCUAGAGUUUACACAGAAUGGUCUGAAAAACAAAAGAAGCAUCCAGUGAGCAGCAGUUCUGCAGGCAGAAGCACCUUGUUGAUGAGGGGAGAAUGGUCAGACUGGUCCAAGCUCUCAGAAAGGCUACGGUAACUCAAAUAACUGCUCUUUACAGCCACGGUGAGCGGAAAAGCAUGUCAGAAUGCAGGCUGUACGCCACACCAUACGUCGAACCUUGAGGUGGAUGAGCGGUAUGUUAACGGUAACAUGAUCCAUGGCAUAAUCUACUAUAUCUUUAGGAAACCCACACUAAUCUUAACCUUUGUGACUUUCCAUAUCCAGUCAAUGACCAUGUUGGACAGACCAUGUUCUGGAUGGAGUCAUCGUUCUCACUCUAGAGGCUUGUAAGUCUCAGUGAGGAACGGUAUGUGAAGUGUCGAAUGAGAUGGUGGUAUUCGAAGAAGAAGUUUCUGAUCUAACCGUCCAAAAAUGGUCCGUUCCAGUCAGGUCAUGUGAUGAGUCCAUGUAUACUCCAGGGCGACAUUUGAAGAAAUAAACAGCUGGAGCUCUUUAAUAGCUCCAGGAAUAGCAAACAUGCCAUGAGAGGAUCUGAGAAACUACAGGAAUUUGUUUGGAAAGCUUUAGAUCGUCAGAGGCUUUACUCGUGAAUCGUAGUAGUUCACUUUUAAACAAAGUUCUGCUAGUCUUAAAACAACAAUAGCGGGAUGGUGUUUUUCUGCUCGCGUAUCGUGAACGUAUUUCAAGCCUCUUAAUCCGUCUCUGUUUAUAAACGUUUGAUGUCCACGGAUGAAAGUAGAGCGUUGUCAAGUAGGGAUUUGAUGCGUUUGUGAAAGAAAUAUCUAGUCGAAAGGAAUGUCUAGAAAGUGCGAUAUUAUUUCUGUGGGAUACUUACAAGCACUGAGAGAGUAGGACCUCCAGAACUGUGUAUUUUAUGGAGAAUUCCCCCGGAAGGAUUUAUGUCAUUUUCGACCUCCGUACAUUUGAACAACAAAGUAGGGGGAAAAAAAAAAACACGGACAUCUAACAAGCUCGAACGCUAAUUCGGCUAACUUCGAUGAGUGAUGGAUAUUUUCCUCGUCUAAAACAGCACACAGUCUAGAUUUUUCGAAGUUUCAUAAAACAACAAACAUUUUUAAAAAUAAAUGAAGGAGUUCUUCGAUCAAAAUUUAUUUAUUUUUUUUCACCAGCUGUGUUUGCAUGCUCCAUUCCUCCUUACCUCUCAUGGCCUUUUCCCUCAUCUCUCUCCCUCUCUCUCUCUUUCUCUAUCUCUCUCUCUCUCUGUCUCUUCCUGGUGGGAUGGUUGAGGGGCGGAGCCUUGGCUGUGAGUGGCGGGAGGGACUCCGACGCAGAGCCACAGGCAGGAGUGUGUAUGGUGUGUGCAUGUGUGUUUCACAGAGGGAACGACCGCACUAGAGAGAGAAACAGAGAGGUUUUGUGUGUGUGUGUGUAUGGGAGAGUAUAGGUCUCUAGAUGGGGAGAACGUUCGGAGUGUGACACAUACCACUCACACACACACACACACACACACACACACACGCACACUGCUGGUCAGAACAAUGAGCCUCUCAGCUCCAGCAACUCUGCCCAUCCCGUCCGCCUGUGUCUGAACACACGCUCUCUCACACUCUCUCUCUCUCUCUCACACACACAAACACGCACACACACACACACACACACGCUCAUCCCGUUCGCUCACACAUGCUGCUCAGUGAUGUGAGGGAGGGAAAAGAGUCACACACUGUUAGGACUGUGUUGUAAUUGGCAUGCUUGGUCUAGACAGCUCACACACACCCACACUCUCGCACACACACACACACACACACACACUCCCACAUACACAUACAGAUACCCGGUUGCAAGAGCUGAAGUUUCGCAGGAACUCCGUUCUCUCCAAACACACACUCGGAAAGGUGAAGCUCUGCCGCCUGCCGUGGAUAAAUUACAUGUGACAUGUUUAGCUGGGCUGCCUUUUAUGGCGCACGCUCUAUCUCAGCACGGUAGAGUCCAGAGAGAGAGGGAGAGAGAGAGAGAGAGAGAGAGAGAGAGAGAGCAGUAGAGAGGCAGUGUGAGAGAGGAGUGUGAAGCGUUCACUUGCUCCCUUUGCAGCAGUCAGUGGAGUCCGUACUGGAGCGGAGUAAGUACUUGUUCUUGUUGUGUGUUGGGAAGCUCUGUGUGUGUGUAUAUAUAUAUUUAUAUAUGUGUGUGUAUAUGUAUAUAUAUAUGUGUGUGUGUGUGUGUGUGUGUCUGUGUAUGUAUGUGUGUGUGGGAGGGGGUUUGUUGAUGCAGGGAACUGCGCAUAUGCUCUGCUCGUAGCUCUGCAGCAGAAGGUUUGAUUGAUAAUUUGUCAACUUCAGCAUUCGAAAUCAGUGUUCGUCGCAGAGUGUUUACAGCUGGAAAACUGUUUGGGGUCCACGUUAGCUCGUUCACGUUGUGUGUCCUUGGAUGUGCGGUUAUGAUGACCCGACUCCAGAUGUUUAUACUGGAGCUGCCCUCAGGAAAUGAUUAAACCCUCUGAGUUCCUACUGCCGUCUGCACCAGUCUGGCUGAAAUUUGUGUGUGUGUUGUGGUGUGGUGUGAGAUCUGAGCCCCGCUCCAUAUACCUCGCACUCCAGAGAUGGAGAUCACUUCGUAAUAAAGAGGAUAACGUUCGGGAAACUUGGACCUUUUUUCAUAUUUGUGGUUGUUGAGUUGUUCUCAUGUGACAUGUCGGUCAAACGUUCCCGGUUAUCGUAGAGCUAGCAAUGAGUGCAGGAUGUACGGAGAGCCGUGAGUCUGAGACAGCGGCGUGAUUGGGGACAGCGAGACGAUGUAAAGCGAGACACGAUGAGUCCCGGGUUAGGACGGCGAGAACGUUAUCGGAGUGUCCGAAGUCGAAGCUGACUUUAUCCGGUUUAUCCGAAACAUGUUGUUGUCUAUGUUCUCGUGUCAGGCUUGUGGAAUUCAGGAACAUCCAUUCUGUCUCUUCAGCGAAGAGAGGAGUUCGCUCUGGAAUGCAGAUGAGUGAGUGUGUGUGUGUGUGUGUGUGUGUGUGUGUAUGUGUGUGUGUAAGUGGGAGCGUUCAUUAGAGUGUGAGGGUUAAACGACUCCUUUGCGGGUGGCACGUGGAGUCUGUAAUUUGGAGAGAUUAUGGUGUCAGGGAGGCAUUCCGAGACACACACACACACACACACACACACACACACACACACACACACACAACAGUCAGCCCUGCCAAAAGUCCUGACAGAUGACAUCAUCAGGCAGUUCAGAAUUCGUAUAUUAUUUACUCCUAUACUUCAUCAUCUUCUUGUCUUUCUUUUUUUUUUUCUUCUUGUCCUGGUCAUAAUGAAUUACCACACCACAUCAUCGGGUUCCUGCUUUCUAGAAGCUUCUCUCCACCGAUCUAUCAUUAAGAUAAAGUUCCUACAUGAGAAAAUGUCUCUAUCGCACGCUGUACACGUCUCUCAACUGCCACCCCUUACCCCUCACCAACCCCCCCCCCCACCACCACCACCACCACCGCCACCACCACCACCACCACCGCCACCACCUUCCCCUACCCAGUAAAGCUAACGGAGCACAUUUCACAUGAGCUGCAUCAUCAGUCCACUUCUCGCCAGUGACACACUGGAGUCAGUGUGUGCUGCCUCGGUCCGUCCGUUUCAGUUAUGAGUAGGGGCUUUGUCCGCGUGUGGACACGCACGCAUACACGCCACCAACACAGACAGAGCACAAAAUGAAAUCACACACUCCUCCUUACAGCUAAAAGAGGAGGUAGUCUUGCCUUUGUAUAAAGAGACAGUUCCUGCUUUGUGAACGCAGCUCAUGCAGUAGUCCCCGUUUACUGUGUGUGUGUGUGUGUGUGUGUGUGUGUGUGUGUGUGUGUGUGUGUGUGUGUGUGUGAGUGAGUGUCUCCCAUCAUGUGGGUGGGUCUUGUGACUUGUGAUGCAUGUGAAACAGUGCCAUGUACUGCACCAUAGGUGUCCCAAAGAAAGAAAGAAAGAUUAUUAUAUCUAUUAUAGCUGUUGUUCCAUCACUUUCUGUUGAAGUGAAUAAGUAAAUAAGACAAGAAAAAUUCUUGUAGCUUGUUGUAGCUGAGAAACCAAAAAAUGCAAAGUAGCAGAAAACUUACUGCUUGAUAGUUGACUGGUACAAAGCACUGAUAUUAGAGACUACUCUCUAUCCGUGUUACUCUACAAAGGUCACGAGGAGCCUGGAGCCUAUCCCAGAGGACUUGGGGCACAAGGUGGGGUAAACCCUGGACAGGGUGCCAACCCAUCGCAGGGCACAAUCACACACGCAGUCACACACUAUGGGCAAUUUAGAGAAACCCCUGAAGCAUGGGGCGAACAUGCAAACUCGCACGCAUACAGGGUAGAUGUGGGAAUCGAAGCCCUGACCCCGGAGGUGCGAGUCAAAUGUGCUAAAACUUAAACCCCUUGAGACUCUUUCCAUAAAUUUUCAAUAAAAAAAUUCCACCAAAUUUUUUAUUUUUUUAAAUAUUGGGUACUCUGGUAUCCUCCCCCAGUCCAAAGACAUGCACGGUAGGCUGAUUGGCGUGUCUAAAGUGUCCGUAGUGUAUGAAUGGGUGUGUGAGUGUGUAUGGGUUUGUGCCCUGCGAGGGAUUGGCACCCUGUCCAGGGUGUACCCCGCCUUGUUCCCCAUGCUCCCUGGGAUAGUCUCCAGGUUUCCCCGUGACCCUGAAAAGGAUUAAGCGGUAUACAAGAUGGAUGGAUUUAUGUAAAUCUUAAAAUCUGUUUAUUAUUAGGCCACAAUAAAAAUGAGCAAAACACUUGCAGGUAUUAAAGUUCAUUUAACUUGAAAUCAAAUGCAGGGGUACAUGCGUUUCAUGAGAUCCGCAUCAAAUGGCCUAUUUAUCAAAUUUAAAAUCAGUAAAGACUCUCGAACAGUUUUCCAAUCGCAUGGCAAUCACUAACGUUGACCACCACGCUAAAGCCGGAUCAGUUUUGCCUCAUAAUAAUCCCUGUUAGCGCAGAUAUUAAUCAUUGUUAAAAGCAGAAGGAACAGCUGAUCUGAAGACAGUGGUGUAACGUGUCCGUGCUGAGCUCGAAGGGUGGAUCAGGUCACUUACACACACUGCCACACUCAAUUAGCCAUUUUGCUGCCACUUCUAAAUAAGCAUUCUCACUUCCACUUCAUUAGAGCAGACGGCCAUCUCAGUGUGGGAGCUCGGCUCACAUUGUGCAGUGGGCGUUCAGCACAAACACGCCCUCGCACACUCGCAUGCACCCAGCCUACACACUGAGAGCUGAACACGCACAAAUAUACCAAUUACAGGGGAGAAAAUCGGCACAAACACCCACACGCAAUCCAAACACCAUAAACGAAGAGUGCAGGAAUAUCGCAAAUAAAUAGAUAAAUAAACGCAGUCUGUCUUACUCGUCUAUUUUAAGUCUAAACCCGUGCAGAUGAGGACGACCUUUCGCACGUCAUACACACAGAAGGACUCGGACACUCCAGAUAAGCUAAAUAUGCUAAACGUUAUCCUUACGUUCAUAUUUCUACGUCCGUGUUUUAUUUUCACCGAGAGUCCCUCUUGAGAGAUUUCAGCUCCGAGUUGAUUUCGAGUCAAACGUGAUCUCAGGAGAAAUAUAAACCAACUGAUUUCAUCUGUAUUAAAUGACGUUAUAAGAAAAUGUGCGCCUGCUAAUCCCAACUCUAAAACCCUAAUCAUAACCUUCCUAACUUUUGCAAUAAGAAUUUGCAAUCGUGAGAUCAACAGCCCACUGAAGCUGAGUUUUUGAGUGUGUAUACGGAAAUAAGGGCAGAUUUGAGGAGAAUAGAUAGAAAGGAUUGACGUCUUGGAACCUAGUGUUGCCACCUCACAGCUCCAGGGUCCCUGGUUCAAUCCUGAGGUCAAGUUAAUGUCUGGGUGUAACUUCACAUGUUUUCCCCAUGUCCACAGUGGGUUUCCUCAGGGUUCUCUGGUUUCCUCCUAUCUCCCAAAAAACAUUCUCGUAGGUGGAAUUGAUGUGAUAAAUUGCCCCAAGGUGUGACCAAUCUUUACCAAUAAACCACUAUCUUAUUAUUACUGCGAGUGGUUUACCUACAGAUCUUCUUUUUUUUUUUUUGGCCUGUUGUUGUUGUUGUUGUUGUUGUUUGUUUUUGUUAAUGUCAUAGCCUUAUUACAUACUCAGUGAUGUGCUUUAUUGCAGAUUAUGUCGUAUUCACAGGUGCAGUCUGGUUGGUAAAUCUCAUUAGCAUAGCUUUGCUUGAAUUUGUGGCUUGACAGAUUGAAUCUGUGUCCAAUUUGCAAACUUGUCUCGUAAAAACUAAAAGCGCGUAUUAAAAUGGCCCACAACAUUUCUCUGUUCAUACAUCCAAAGGGAUAUUUAUAUUAAGAGUAAAUACAGCUGCAUUUAGUUUCAUUCACAGUGUGUCCUACGUGUAAGAACGAUAAAAAGGUAACGCUUAAUAUAUAUAACGGUGGUGCUAAAUAGUGCUCCGUACGACUUAUGACAACUAACAAACAUGCAUAACCAUGUUCGGCAGACUGAAGUGGUAUAAAUUUGUGUUGUGACUGUCAUGACUGUGACCAUUUAUAACCUUUUUAUGUAAAGUUAUGACAACUUCAUGACACGACAUGACAUUGAGUCAACUAUAUUUUCUCAGCCCCUAUAUUAGCAGGAGUUUGGUUGUGAGUUUGGCUUGACACUACUAACAUUAUUCGAAGUGCACUGCAGUACAAAGCCAGUUGUUAAGAUAGUGGAAUAUGAGUGUCAUAAAGUGUCAUAAGACAAACUUAGUUGAUAUGACAUCAAAUUUGACAAACCCAGUCAUAAGACUCAUGACAACUAACAAACAUGCAUAACCAUGUAUGAAGGCUUAUUAGAACAAAUGUCAGCUGUCAUUAAGAUUCUAUCUUUGUAUGUAUCUUUAUAUGUCUAUAAGUGACAUAGAUUUGUGUUGACGUAACAUGUUAUAAGGACUGUCAUGAAAACGGACUUUGCGUAUAUCAAAGUCACAAAAUGUUUAUAAUGUGACCAUUUUAAAUACCUAUGACAGAGUUACGGAUCGUUUUUACCCCUUAUAGAGAAUCGAGUUUACUUUGACCAUUUAUGACCUUUUUAUGUAAAGUUAUGACAACUUCAUGACAUGACACUGAGUCCACUAGAUUUUCUCAGCCCCUAUAUUAGCAGGAGUUUGGUUGUGAGUUUGGCUUGACACCAUUUGACACCAUUGGCUUGACAGUGGGGCAGUGGUGGCUUGGCGGUUAAGACUCUGAGUUACUGAUCGGAUGGUUGGGGGUUCAAGCCCCCGCACUGCCAAGCCGCCACUGUUGGGCCCUUGAGCAAGACUCUUAACCCUCUCUGCUCCAGGGGUGCCGUAUCGUGGCUGACCCCAGCUUCUGGGGUCUACUAUAUGUAUAAAGAAAUUUGACAACCCCAGGCAUUAUGGUGGCUGAUGGCAGUUGUAAUAAGCAAUCUGUUGUCAUGAAUGAUUUACACAGGUCUUAUGUAGCACUAUGAACACUUCCCUUCAGUAAUGUGUUACCAGUAAAGGACACCUUGCGUUUAAAAUUAUUGCUCAGAUCUGCAUCGAUGCACUUACAGCAGAGAUUGUAACCUUUCAUAUGUCAUUGAGACAAUGACAUACAGGAUGACCCCAGUGCUGUCGGUUGGCUAGCUUUUGCUGCAUCAUGCUUCCUGUUUGCCCUUCAAAUGUUGCGUCGUUGCUUUUCUCAUUAUGUGUAAGACGAGACCAGAUUCUAGCUUCACGUCUAACGAGUAAUCGUGUCUCGCUCUACAGCUGCAUUCACUUGCAGAUUAGAUGUUGCUUAUGGAUUACAAAGCACUCUUACUAAUCAGCCUUCUCCAUUUUACAAUCCUUUCUAAGACCCAGUGUUCUGACACAUGAUACCUUUUGCAAUAGAUAUAACCAAAAGACUUUAGAUCACCGUCAUCAUCAACCUGGCUGUCUCAGCAUAUUUCUAACACUCGGCAUCCGCCAGAUUCCGAUGAACACAGUGAAAAACGACACGAGACGUAAGAACACUUUCACGGACAAGGAUUACUGCAUUUCCAAUUGAAUACCUUUGCCAGGGAAAUGGAGACACUCUAAAUCUGCUUCACCUUAUAGCGUUUGUUCAUUUAGUGCCGAAAACUGAGGUACAAAUCGAACUUCUGCACACAGCUGUGUGCAGACUUGCUAAUCAUUGACUUUAUGAUUAUAUUCCUAUUCAUUUUGCACACCUGAUGCACUGCUUAUGCCAUCUGGGCUCUCUCUGUGAAGCUUUCGUGAUGGUAACGACCUUGCAGAGGGGUUUUUGUGGCACCUGCGGAUCGAAACCCCAUCCCAUCCGGAAGGAAUGAAGCCAUUUUCUUUGUGUUCUUUCCACUUGGGAAAAUGCAUAGUCAUAUGCAAAACUAUCACGAUGAGGUAUUUUGGCUAAUCCUGAUCUCAUGAGAAAUGCAUGGGGAGGAUUUGAGAAGAAAAAAAAAAAGUGUGGUUGGAUUUCAUUCAAUUCCACCUGAAUAAGAUCACAAGCAAAAGGUAUGAAUGUUUAACCCUGUCUGUGAGCCCAUAUAUAAGUUCAAAACACAUUAACAAACCAAAAUGACAGGAUUUCAACUUUUAGCAUAUUUCUUGCUGCUAAUCUAGGCUAGCUAGCUAACAUGAGCGGAUUUCUGACGUAUUUCAAUUUACAUAUAUCUCAGAUGUUCAUAAUGCUCACCAAUAAUGCUAGUUAUCUAACUGACAUGAGCUAGCUAAACAGGAUUUCUAAGAGGUUUUAAUGUCAUAUGUAUUAGCUGUAUCAUAUUUCAUGCUAAAGCUAGCUAGCUAGAUCACUGACAGCUUUUCCAAAAGGAUUUUGAGUCACAAUGUUUAUACUCACUGCUAACGAUUGUAGCAUAUUUCUUUCUGUUAACGCAAGCUAGUUAGUUAGCAUGAGCUAAUCUGGCAUGAUUUCUGAGAGGAUUUAAAGUCAUAUUCCUUCAUUCUGUCAUACUUCUUGCAUAUGCUUGGCAGGAUUUCUAAGAGGAUGUUAAGUCGAGAAAGAGGAUUUUUUUUUUUUUUUUUUUAAAGAAAGAGGAUUUCAUGAAUGUUCAGAAUCUUCAUUGCUAAUGCUAGCAAGCUUUCUAACAUAAUAAAAUAUAUUACACAUGAAAUAUAUUAUAGAUAAUAUAUAAAUAUACAUAAUAGAUCAAUUAAAAUCCUGACAGGAUUUUAAUUUAUAUAUUACAAGUGGUCAUAACGCUUAUUUAAAUAUGCUUGUUAUCUAGCUAAAAUGAGCUAACCUGACAGGAUUUUUAAGAUGAUUUAAAGUCAUAUCCAUAAAUGUUUACAGUAUCUUCCUAAUACAAGUGAGGUAACCUGGCAGGAUUUCUGAGAGGAUGUUAUCACAGCUUUUUUUUUAAAAAAUAAUUAUUUAUUUAUGCCUGUUAUUCAGUGACUACAAUGACACCCCCCCCCCACCCCACCACCACCAUUCUAUGUAAACACUUUGAGUGUUUAGAAAAGCGCUAUAUAAAUGUAACUGUAACUAAAUUAUUCAACUUGAAACAAGUUUUAUACAAGAAUGAGGAAUGUAAACAUUAUCUUCACUACUAAUGCUAGCUAGUUAACGAGCUAACGACAGGAUAUAGGCUGUACGAAAAGUACUUUUUGAGUGUGAUUGUAAAACUUUUGAGAGAUGGCUGUCUCGUCCUGUUCAGUCUGCUCAUAUGGACAGAUUACUGGGACACGGUGUACCUUCAGUUGGCAGUGGCAGGAUGAUUUAUGAAUAACAAAUACAUUCCAGGACUUUCUGAACACAAGGUAACUCAGGGAAUGAUACAGGGGCUGAGCUUUACUAAAGUAAGUUCUCAGAUUUAUGAAACACUACUAGGAUCAAAGAAAAGAAAGAUGCCAGGAUGUGUUAUUAAGACGUUAUUACUAUUUAUUACAGUCAUAAAAACAGACCUUGCACUGUGCAUGAUUCAUACAAAAAAAAAAAAAAUUAUUCACAGAUUGAGUUGUGAUGGAAGGUGAAAAGGAUGAGGAGGGGAAAUUGAAAUUGCACCAUCCUCGUUCCAAUCCCAUCUUCAAUCUUCCAUCCUCACUUGUUUUGUAUCUGCUUUCUUUGUUCCGAUCCGUCUCCUUCUACUCCUCUAUCUGAUUCAGUUCAUCUGAUGGUCUCUGGCUCAUUCUGUCUUCCCUUUGUCACUCUUCAAUUCUCCUCCACAUCCCACCUCUUUCUUCACUUUUUUUUUUUUUUUUUUACUGUCGCAGAAGUAAGCGGCACUUUGUAAUUCGAGGCCAGGAGAGCGUGUGCUUUAACCUGCUGCAAUCUCUGACCUCUGACUCGUUUGCACUCACUGACUCAUCACUGCAGGACAUUCGAUCCUGCCUGGCAAGGCAGCUGGCAUCAUUUAAUGCCCAUCACUGGUCCAGAAAUAGUUUAGCUCACACAACACGGUCUUAUGAUUGUACGUUAAUAAGAACUCUAAUUUAAAUAUACGCAAAUAAUUACGGUUAAUAAUGAGGCACAGGAUUAAUGGUUGUAGUUAUUGCUUUGGACGAACCCGGAAAUUUUCGACAUAAAACCCUACAGCGGAGUGGUUCUCUAUCAGAGAAGGUUCCAAGUAAAACUCCUUUAAAAAGCUAAGGAAUGCUUAUAUGGGCAUGCUGUUAUAUGAAAAUAAUGAAUGACAAAAAAAUGAAAAAAAAAAGAUUAUUUUUUAAGCCAACCGUUACGGUUUUCAUUUAUUAAAGAAUGGCACAUUGUACUUUUAUCCAUUAAUUGUUACAUUUACUGUUGUGGAACAUCCACAAAACAAGUUAGUUCCGUUUAUCACUUAGGUUAUGACAGCUAUAAACAGUCAUUCCUUCACCAGGGUUCAGGUGGUGUUGGCAGCUCAGCGGAUAAGACAUUGGGUUUUCUGAUUGGAAGGUUGUGAGUUCAAAUCCCACCACUGCUGGGGCCUUAACACUUGGCUGUAUAAAUGAGAUAAAUGUAAGGCAGUCUGUAUAAGGGCGUCUGCCAAAUUCUGUAAAUGCUACAAAGCACUCACACUGGAGACUACUUCCAUAAAUGUUAAACCAACAGUUCCAUUUUUCCAAGUUUUCCUACAGCAAAUUAGAGUGUCUACUAUACAAGUCCCUAUGUUAGUUGUUACUAUAGAAAGGUAACACAUAACAGCAAACGUACAUUAAUAUGAACCUUGCAACUGGAAAUACUGUCAGAGCUGCUGUUAGAGAAAAUUAAUCAACACUUCCCGACGAAUCAUAACUGAGUAUUCAACAGCACUGUGCUGUUAUAAGAAUGCUCCACUAUCCAAAGAACCUCGUUUUGCAUGCUAUGGUCAAACGAGUCAAAUUUGUGAACUACAAAUGGUACGAAUUUGAAUGCUUUACUGCCUUUCCACUUAGCCAGGUAGCCUUGACUUCGCUGCCAGUUACAGAUGGUCGUUAGAUCCUGUAUACAAAGGAGACUAUUAACUUUCUGUAGUGACUCAUAUGAAAAGGUGAGGUGACUUAAUAUGUCUUAAAGGAAGCACUGAUUAGAUUUCAUCCUUUUGGACUGGCAACUGUUGAACGAUAGAGAAAUGGAAAUUUUUGUUAUGGCUAAAAUGGUGAAGAAAAAAAAAAUAUUUGUAAAAUAAAUACAUAAAUUAAUAAAUAAAUAAAAGCUCAAAUGAAAUGUGGUGUGAUAUGACGUUGCUACUGCCAAGAGUCCAUCCAAACCACCAGAAAUCUGAUCACAGAGCAGCGGGUGAGCUCAUUUCUGCGAUAGGUUUUUUUUGUUGUUGUUGAUCCAGUAGAUUUUACAAUUCAUCCAGAUAAUCUAUGAUUAAAGCAUCUAUGGGAAAAUAUGCUUUUGUUUAUAUCCUGGAGGAAUGAUUAAGGACAAGCUCGAGUUCUCCAGCUUGUUUUGCUCAGCAUGAAAUGAGUCCUCCUAGUUUCUUAGCUUUCCAAAAAAGCAAAAAAACAACAAAAAAAAGCCCUCAACGGUAAUAAAACAUAAAGCCAUGGAUCAUCCAAGAGACGAGAGCUGGAUGGGGGUGGGGGUGAAAUGCAACAGUACAGUAGUUGAGGUUUUCUUGUGAUAAUUAUUUGGACCAGAUUGUUUCUUUUUUGAUUAGUUGCAGUUGGGUUUGUUUGCAUUCCAAAGGUCAGUCGUUGUGGUUGGAACAGCAGCUUGGCUUCUGCUUGCCUAAGAGUCAUUUGAGGUGAAAAGAUGGCGGCAGGCAGAGCGCUGCCAUCCGUCUCCUCUGAUCCUUCAUCUCUCUCUCUUUUUAUCCCCCCCCCAACUGUCUUUCUUUAUGGCGGUGGCAGACGGAGGUGUGAGUGCUACAUAAAUGCAUUUAUUUGCCGUUUUCUUUGCGUGUGGCAUAGGGAUUCAAAGAGAACAAGUAGUAGAAGGGGGCGGAUGGAGUCAUGUUUCCACGAAUGCCACACUUCAGUCUGUUUUUGCUCAUAUAUAGCAUGGAAUUCUGGGAAAAGGCUGACGUUCGAUUCAAAAUUGCAACAGUAGAAAAGUUAGCUCUGUUGUCUAUGGUGAGAAAAAAAAAAUUUAAAUAAAAACCCAAGGAAUCAUAGUUCAAAUGUAGUCUUAAGAAAUAAAUUAAAAUGCACACUUACCCCCUAAUAGGUGCAACAUCUGCCCUUAUUCAUGUGAGGUGACAGGCAGGCCACGUCAAGUUAAAUAAGGAUAACAAUAAUCAGAAACUAACUCAACAAGAGUUUAAAUAGGACAAACUAAACAGAACUGUGCACAGAACAGGUGAACACAAUCAGGCAACAAACCAAUGACAUGACAGGGGUGGAGACAAGAAUAGAACAUGACCACAUGGUGUUCAUUGCUAUCGGAACCAUGAGGUAAAGGAGGGAAGCAUGAGAUGUAAACUGUUACAGAAAAUCAAUCAAUCAAUCAAGCAUCUGACCAAUCAGAUCUGAGAAUUUAACAGUGCCAUGGGAUCGUUUUGGGAUGAGAUCACUCCUCUGAACAUAUGGACUUUACGACCUUGAAUUCAGAUCAAACUUGCGUUCGAUUUGUGCAACUGGCAGCAGAAAAUCAACAUGCUAAAGCAACUCGGAGGUUCCCUCGAAGGCCCUGAGUUAAACAAAUGAAGAGAAUGAAAUCAGAUGUCGCAAAGUUUGCUGCGUUUAUUACAGUUUAAAAGGGUUAAUCUUCUCCAUCCUUCUUGAAGAAUGUGACUUGGCUGAGGUGAAACGGCCCAUGUGAUUUGCACACUAUCAAUUAUAGGCCUUUAACAAAUGAAACCAGAUGCCUGUUGACUGUGUGUGUGUGUGUGUGUGUGUGUGUGCGCGCGUGUGUUUGUGUGUGUGUCUGUUUUAUGUGUCUCAUGACUGGCGUUUAGAACACCCUGAAGUAAACAGUGUUUUGUGUGCGCGUCUGCACGCGCGCGUGCGUGUGUGUGUGUGUGUGUGUGUGUGAAAGAAGAGACUCAUGCUGCCUUGCAUGCAACAAGAGCACCGUUGGUGGGUUUGCAAUCCAGACAACACCUAGUAAACAUAAUAAAUGCUAAUGAAUGUUUAUUUCUGAAAAUUUGGAAGAAGAUUUUAAGGCAUUCAGUGAUCUGUGACUCACUGUGCUUUGAAUGUACAAUUAACACCAGUUAUAUCUCGCCGAUUGGUUACAUUAAACACAAUAUCGAAUCAGAACUGCUCUUAAGUGGGAAAUUGUGCAAAUCUGUGUAUCAAUUUGUGGAUCCUGGUUUUGAGUGGCCCACUUUAAAAAGCAUACAAAUUGCAUGUUAAACACCUGCAGAUGUGUUGAACACGUUGCUAGUGAAAUAAAGUGCUAGAGUGAGUGAACGUGUAAUGCUGUUUUCACGUGAUCUGCCUUUAUUAGUCAUUCCCAUGCACAGUGUGGGACGGGGUGCUAUAAUAUCCCUACGCCUUUGGCCAUAUGGAAUGAUCUCAUUCAUAAUUCAUUUGCAUUCAGACUCUUAUUGAUGACCCGUUGAAUUCAGACAUUUUAUUAAUGUGCCUUUUUUUCAGUGCCUCUUAUUAAUGUUCCUUGUCAACACACUAUAAUUUUGUUGCUUCUCAGCUGGGGUUUCUGAAAUAUCCGCUCUGAAUCUUAAUCAGCUUCAGCAUUGUCCAGUCGUUGAUUAAGUUUCGUCAUCAUCAUCAUCAUUCAUCUGUCUAUUUGAUCUAAUUACAGAACUAGCACACACCCGUGACUCAUAGACUAGUGUGCCAGUUUCAGGAAUAUUCUGGAUUUCGGUCAUUUUGUCCAUUAAAUCCGUCUCUUAUUUGUCCUUACGUUCUUACGUACACGCUCGAACGCCAUCUUCCAUCUUUACGUACAGCUUAACCUCGAUCUCAUUAAAAAUAAUAAUUAUUCACAAAUAAGAAAUCAAGAAAAAGAUCUAAACAGAAACCCCACACUUUAUCCCGGAUCUUAUCCUUGGUAAGAUUUCGUGCAGAUCGAAAUAUUAGAAAUGUAGAAGUAUAAGAUAAGUUUGCUUCACUGAAGAAGGUUAAAAAAAAAAAAAACCUUGAUAUUAUACAAAUUUCAAUAAUCCAGUAUUUAUAAAAUUGUUUUUAUAAAAUUGAGUCUCCAGUGUCAGUGCUUUGUAACAGCAUGUAUAAAAUUGUUCAGAAUGGAAGAUUUUGUGGUUUAAAAUGACAAGCUGUGGGUUUUUUGGUGAGGGAACAGUUGUUUAUAGCUAUCUUAUGUAACUUCUUUUGAGACGCACAAGCUAAUAGGGGCUAAUUGCUAUGGUCUAAGAAGAAUAAAACACUUUAUAACCACUUUAUAAUGGUAACAGUUUCUCGCUUAACGUCAGGCCGCAUCACUCCAAACAGUCACUGAUUAUUUUUCUUUAACAGCAUGCCUCCGGAUGUUUUACUCCUUACUUAACACUCGGGGCGAUAUGCAAAUCAGGAGCUCGUGUCAUAACCGAUCUCCACAGACUUGUAAACAUCACCGUGAAUGCGCCGCUCUGUUCAGUUAAACCAGGCAAAUGACAGAGUUACUGUGCGUGGAGUCUAACGGUGCGGAAAAAUCCUGACAAGAAAAUCUCACACCUGCGGCAAAAGUCGAUGUGCUGUUGCGUUAAGCGAUACACACCUUAUGUCAUAACAUCAGUCUGCUGGCAGAUGACAUAAUUAUUACCUCCGUGUGUUUAUAAUGAUGGCAUCACUGACUGCUGAGGUCUGUAAAUGUAUGGGUAUACACAUACUAAUGUGAAGUGUGUUCACCUACAGGUCUCUCUCACACACACACACACACACACACGCACACACACACACACACACACGCACACACUUAUUUCUAUUUAAUUAAAACCACUUUUUAUUUUCACGUGCGUAAUGACAAGAGUUUAUGAUGGUGUGUAUUUUCUCUUCAGGGAACGUGUAUUGAUUCUGUUAUUAACAUAAAUGAAGGUGUGUGUGGGUGUGUGUGUGGGUGAAUGUGUGGGUGUGUGAAGUUGUGUGUGGGGUGGAGGUGGACAUGGUGUGGGUUUGUGUUAGAUGGGCAUUUCAGUGCCUCCCAGCAUGUUUGCAAUUGGGCAGGUUGUGUG